CAUUUUUCCAUGUCUAAUAUUUAACCGUUUGUCUUAUUUAAAAUUUUUUUGUGAUUAAUAUUUUUAUUGUUACUAGAUAAUAAAAUAUGAAUAGUACUUUAUACCUGACUAAUUUAUUUAAGUUUUUUAUAAAUUUUUUAAAUAAGAUGAAUGAUUAAACAUUGGAUAUGGAAAAAC
rnacentral:pre_miRNA from 1 species